CUAAGAGCUCGUAGGCGGUUUGUCGCGUCUGCCGUGAAAGUCCGAGGCUCAACCUCGGAUCUGCGGUGGGUACGGGCAGACUAGAGUGAUGUAGGGGAGACUGGAAUUCCUGGUGUAGCGGUGAAAUGCGCAGAUAUCAGGAGGAACACCGAUGGCGAAGGCAGGUCUCUGGGCAUUAACUGACGCUGAGGAGCGAAAGCAUGGGGAGCGAACAGGAUUAGAUACCCUGGUAGUCCAUGCCGUAAACGUUGGGCACUAGGUGUGGGGGACAUUCCACGUUUUCCGCGCCGUAGCUAACGCAUUAAGUGCCCCGCCUGGGGAGUACGGCCGCAAGGCUAAAACUCAAAGGAAUUGACGGGGGCCCGCACAAGCGGCGGAGCAUGCGGAUUAAUUCGAUGCAACGCGAAGAACCUUACCAAGGCUUGACAUGUGCCAGACCGCCGUGGAAACACGGUUUCCCCUUUGGGGCUGGUUCACAGGUGGUGCAUGGUUGUCGUCAGCUCGUGUCGUGAGAUGUUGGGUUAAGUCCCGCAACGAGCGCAACCCUCGUUCUAUGUUGCCAGCACGUGAUGGUGGGGACUCAUAGGAGACUGCCGGGGUCAACUCGGAGGAAGGUGGGGACGACGUCAAAUCAUCAUGCCCCUUAUGUCUUGGGCUUCACGCAUGCUACAAUGGCCGGUACAAUGAGUUGCGAUACUGUGAGGUGGAGCUAAUCCCAAAAAGCCGGUCUCAGUUCGGAUUGGGGUCUGCAACUCGACCCCAUGAAGUCGGAGUCGCUAGUAAUCGCAGAUCAGCAACGCUGCGGUGAAUACGUUCCCGGGCCUUGUACACACCGCCGUCAAGUCACGAAAAGUUGGUAACACCCGAAGCCGGUGGCCUAACCCCUUGUGGAAGGGAGCCGUCGAAAGUGGGGACCGGCGAAUUGGGACUAGUCGUACCAGGGUAACCCAU
rnacentral:rRNA from 1 species